CCGGCGACCGGCGCACGGGUGAGUAACACGUAUGCAACCUGCCCUCUUCCAGGGGACAACCUUCCGAAAGGGAGGCUAAUCCCGCGUAUAUCGGUUUCGGGCAUCCGAGAUCGAGGAAAGAUUCAUCGGAAGAGGAUGGGCAUGCGGCGCAUUAGCUAGACGGCGGGGUAACGGCCCACCGUGGCGACGAUGCGUAGGGGUUCUGAGAGGAAGGUCCCCCACACUGGUACUGAGACACGGACCAGACUCCUACGGAAGGCAGCAG
rnacentral:rRNA from 1 species